rnacentral:misc_RNA from 1 species
AAAAGCUCUACAUGACAUAUCCAGUGAGUAAGUAUGCUAGAAUUUCUAUUGGAAAAUAAGAGGUUCCAAGUCAAUGUCCAAGGUCAAGUAUUUAUAUGUAUAUAAUAAUGCAUAUAUAUUAUUCAUAAAAAGCAUCCAGCAAAAAUUGUGACAUUAGUUUAUCAAGAGAUAUCAACUCAAAGACAAAAAUUAUAAGCAAUAACACUAUGAAAUGCAAUGUUUUUUCCAUUGUGGAUCCAAUAAAAUCUGAUCAUCAAACUUACAACAUCUGUGCCAAUGAUGUAG